rnacentral:rRNA from 1 species
AACGAACGCUGGCGGCAUGCCUAACACAUGCAAGUCGAACGAGACCUUCGGGUCUAGUGGCGCACGGGUGCGUAACGCGUGGGAACCUGCACUUAGGUUCGGAAUAACUCCCCGAAAGGGGUGCUAAUACCGGAUAAUGUCUUCGGACCAAAGAUUUAUCGCCUUUGGAUGGGCCCGCGUUGGAUUAGCUAGUUGGUAGGGUAAAAGCCUACCAAGGCGACGAUCCAGAGCUGGUCUGAGAGGAUGAUCAGCCACACUGGGGCUGAGACACGGCCCAGACUCCUACGGGAGGCAGCAGUGGGGAAUAUUGGACGAUGGGCGAAAGCCUGGUCCAGCAAUGCCGCGUGAGUGAUGAAGGCCUUAGUGUUGUAAAGCUCUUUUACCCGGGAUGAUAAUGACAGUACCGGGAGAAUAAGCUCCGGCUAACUCCGUG